rnacentral:rRNA from 1 species
AACCUACCUUAUAGACGGGGAUAGCCUUUGGAAACGGAGAUUAAUACCCGAUAGUAUUAGUUACUGGCAUCAGUUACUAAUUAAAGAUUUAUCGCUAUAAGCUGGGCAUGCGUCCAAUUAGUUAGUUGGUGAGGUAAUGGCUCACCAAGACGAUGAUUGGUAGGGGAACUGAGAGGUUAAUCCCCCACACUGGCACUGAGAUACGGGCCAGACUCCUACGGGAGGCAGCAGUAGGGAAUAUUGGGCAAUGGAGGCAACUCUGACCCAGCCAUGCCGCGUGCAG